AUGCUUAGCUGCUCUUGUCGUCGCCAUGUAGCCUUGCAACUUGCAGAAAUCUCAUCGACUGCGGUUGCUAGGGUCGCCGUCGUCACCGGAGGGAACAAGGGGAUCGGCUUCGAGGUGUGCCGGCAGCUUGCCAGCGGCGGAAUUGCCGUCGUCCUGACGGCCCGGGAUGAGAUGAGGGGCGGGGAGGCCGUCGAGAGGCUCAAUGCGCUGGGGCUCUCUCAUGUCGUCUUCCAUCAGCUGGAGAUCACGGACGCUUCGAGCGCCGCUGCGCUAGCUGGUUUUCUCAAGGCCCGCUUCGGCAAGCUUGAUAUUCUGGUGAAUAAUGCCGCAGUUGGUGGGGUUGAGUACGGCCAAGAGUUCGAUACCAACGAGGAAAAGAGAGUUGAGUGGAUGCUGAAGAAUGCCCGGGAGCCCAUCGACAGCGCGAAGAACAGCGUGAAGACGAACUACUACGGCACGAAGCAUGUAAUCGAAGCCCUGCUGCCUCUGCUUCAAGCUUCGUCCGAGGGAAGAAUAGUGAACGUCUCCUCCAAUUAUGGACUCCUAAGACAUAUCGGCAACGAGGAGGUGAGGCAGGAGCUCAACGACGUCGACAACCUGACAGAGGAGAGGUUGGACGAGCUGCUGGACAAAUUCAUGAAAGACUUCGAGGCCGGCGCGCUGGAGCCGCACGGGUGGCCCACGAAGUUCUCCGCGUACAAGGUGGCCAAGACCGCCAUGAACGCCUACUCGAGGAUCCUGGCGAGGAGGCACCCUGAGCUGCGCGUCAACUGCGCGCACCCAGGCUUCGUCAAGACCGACAUGAGCAUGGGGUCCGGGGUCCUGACGCCGGAGGAGGGCGCACGCAACUUGGUGAAGGUGGCGCUGCUGCCUGACGGCGGGCCGACCGGCGCGUAUUUCGCCAUGGGCGAGGAGGCGCUGUUCGUGUGA
rnacentral:rRNA from 1 species